rnacentral:tRNA from 1 species
AAGUAAGAAGCAAAAAAUUGCGUUUAGUUUCGACCUAAAAUUUUGAUUAUAUUAUCCUUACUUU